AUUGCUAACGAAUUUACGA
rnacentral:piRNA from 1 species